GUAUGGGCCCUGUGCGACGGGAUGCUACGAACCUUGUCAGGCGGGGAACCGAGCAGCAAUAAGUGGAUUAUUCUGUGCGCCGCAGACAAGUCUGUACGCU
rfam:Anaerotruncus sp. CAG:528 genomic scaffold, scf68